rnacentral:lncRNA from 1 species
UAAAAAUGACAAGUCUCAAUAUGUAUAAUUGAAUGUCACACCCCUUUUAUAUAGAUAAUCAUACAUUAACCUAUGUCGGAAUGAAAUUGAUGACUUGAUCUAGACACAUGAUUCCACAUAUUAAUUUUUUUUCCACUUGCUAAAAUGAAAUAAGCAUCAUCACGAGUAUAUCCUUGCAUAUUCGCUCCUGAUCACCUAUGACAUUUAUAUAGUAUACCAAAAUCAAAUAUCAUAUAACCAUAGUUCAACAUAUAUAUUUUGAGACUAUAUAAGUAUCAAGCGGCCAUUUCAAAAGGUACACACACACACACACACACACACACACACACACACAAAAUACAGGACUCCCAAAAUAUAAUACAGCUGAGGUCCACAAAAUAACCCUACAGGUUGUCAUCCGUAUAUAUCAAACUCCGAAAUCCCGUAAGAGCUUCACAGCUAGCUAGGACCUCUAUGAAGUUCCAUGCUCACUUACAGCGCAAGAACUACAUAAGCUAAUACUUCGUGAACAAAAAUUAUGCAUGUCAUGAGUAUGAGUAAUAAUAGCGUAUGACAUCAUGUCAUGCUAUAGAUGCAUCGUAUUCAAAUAUUUGUCGAAAUCAAUUCAAAAUAAUUUCUUUUGAAAUUUUCAUUUCAUUGGACCCUUGACCCACCUAUUAUGCACCGGAUAGAACUCUGUGCAAUGUCAAUUCAAUAAUCAAUAAUUGAAUGGCCAAUACGAGUCCAGCCUCUUGUGACCACUAGAGGCUCAUUCCCCCAACUACCCCUAUGGUCACCCAAGAAGUAUUCCAGUUGACAAUACCAAUAAUCAUAAUAUCACAAGGGCAUUGUCAAGUGGUCCACCCUUCCAUGAUCACCAACGAUCCAUUCCCUAUCUAUAUUCACCCAAGAAGUUUCAACCGCGAAGUCAAAACAUAUCAUAUAAGCAUGCCUCGGUGCUUUAAUGAUGGUCAACAAAACAUUUAUGAGAAAAACUCAAUUUUGAAAUCAUUUUAUGCAUGCUAGAUUUUCAACCAUGGACAUAUUUCAUACAUACACAUGAAAAUGCUCGUGAAUGACAAAAUUAUCAAAACGAUGUCAGUAUGUUCCGAAACCACGUACUUAAUUAUCAUAACCAUCAUAUAAUGUACAAUGAGCUCUUCAUCAAAGUUAUGCAAAUAUUAUAACAUUACUAUAUCACAAAUACAAUGUUCUUGUAUCGGAGUUACGAAUGGAUUUUUACUUACCUUUCACCCUUGUGUGUGCGAUUCUAUGGAGUGUAAUUAAUUUCAUUUUCACCUAAAGUCAGAAAACUCCUUGUAUUACCAUUUAAUAUUAAACACAAUCCUCAAUUUAAUGACCUUGACACACACAAGCUCGUGCUAUGUCCAAUCAUGCCAAAAUAAUUUAGAUGACGUUAUCAUUUCAAGUUACCGAUUGCAUUGCAAACUAGUCUAUUUCUCGAGUCCAAUUAUGAAUGUCAACAUCAUUCAAUUGUUAUUAACAAACUAGCACUCCUUAAAAUCUAUUUUCCAGGUCUAGGAGAUGAUCAGUGCACAUGUAAAGGUCGAAACUAUGCAAACUGCAAAAAAUGGACUAAAUUUGUUUUUGAGUUUUAGUUGCUGCCAUGCCCCAUUUCAUUCAUCUUUUCGUACACUUAUAUAACAUACAUGUGCAUGUAAAUAUGUCAUUAAGAUACCACGAUUAGAGGAUUUACAACCUAAAAAUCAGUUCCUUUUACCAAACACCAAACAGGAUUUCACUAUGGCUGCUUUGAGUUUCACUUGGAUUAGACCUUCACAAAUUGAAUUCUAUCCUAUUAAAGAUCAUUUCUAUACUUUUAACUCUAAUAUUAAAACAUUCAUAUUGACAAAUACAAGUUAUACCCAAGGGAUUAUUUAAAAUCAAGGGGUUAAAUCAUUAAAAUUCAGCAACUGUCAAAUCUCUAUAAAUGUUGAUUUCCUUCAUGUUCUUGCAAUCAAUUACCCCUUAUCCGCGACCACAAAUUCAAUAACAACAUACAAAAUGGUCUCAAUCAAGAUCAAAGGUUCAAGAGAAUAUAAAAUCUUCAGAAAUAAUGAAUACAAACCUCAAAACAGUGAACUAACCCAGCUGCCCAAGACUUUCAAUUCCAGCUUCCUGAUUUCUAUUUCCCUUUAGCUCUUUUGCUCUCUUUUUCACUUGGAAUCAAUUGGGGACGAGUUAAAGGAUCUUAUUUAGAAGGUAAAGAAGAGGUCUUUAAGCGGUUGAUGUCAUGGCUCUUGCUUAAUGAUUAAGAAAAUGUUAUAUGCAACCAAGUUAACAUGUGUUAAGCAUGAGGUGGCUUCUUCCAG